CUGAGAACCUUUCUCUUGCUCAGCCUACAGCAUGAUCUUGUAGGGGAGUUUGUCUUGCAUAGCACAUGAACCAAGAUUUUCUUGAAGAUUUCAACAAAAGAUCAAGAAACUAGAGGAAUAGUUUUUUCAACUUUGGUGUAUCCCCAAACUCAGCCUUCCACUGCUUCUGAGCCAGCUAUGCUGUCUGCUUUGUGCUUAGGACUUGUGAUCUUGUUGAUAAUGCGAGGGACCAGUGGAGACUCGGUGACCCAGACAGAAGGUGUUGUUACCCUCCCCGAGAAGACAUCUCUGACUCUGAAGUGUACUUACCAGUCCAGCUAUUCAGGUUUUCUUUUCUGGUAUGUCCAGUACCAAAACAAAGAGCUUGAGCUGCUCCUGAAAAGCUCAUUAAACCAGAAGGUGACCAGCAGAGGUUUUGAAGCCACUCAUAUCUCAAGUGACAGCUCCUUCCACCUGCAGAAAUCCUCCAUGCAAACAUCAGACUCAGCUGUGUACUACUGUGCUCUGAGUGACACAGUGAGAGAGGCCGCAGUGGGAGCUGAACACAAACCCAAGGGCACAGAUGGGGUCAGGCUGUGGGCAGCUCUCCAGAGUUCUGUGCUAAAGGCAUUGUCAAAGUACUUUCAGCUCUGAAGCUCAGAGCUAAGAACCUUGGAAUUCUUGGAUUGCCCUACAGAGAGGAAUCUGGGGCAGGACAGUGUAAAGAGGAACCUAAGCACUUUUCUCCACAAAUGCCUGUUUUCAGCCCAUUCACAUUCCCCAUAAAGGCACAGAAUCCCUUGAAGUGUCAUUAACUCUUCAGUGACAAUUCAGUUGAUAUAUGCUGAAAUAUUUCACAACCUGUUAAUGAAAACUCCCAGGAACAUUGUUAAUGGAUGACUGUGUGAUCUGGAAGGUAGUCUCUGGUUUUAAUAAUUCAGACUAGGAUUGUAUGUCUUGCUGAGAUACACCUGCAGA